UCCGCACCGCAUCAUCCACUGUCA
rnacentral:siRNA from 1 species